rnacentral:rRNA from 1 species
AAACAUCGCCUCCUGCCACCACUCAUUAUAGGAGGUCCCGCCUGCCCUGUGACCAAAAGUUUAACGGCCGCGGUAUUUUAACCGUGCAAAGGUAGCGCAAUCAAUUGUCUUUUAAAUGGAGACCUGUAUGAAUGGCAUAACGAGGGUUUAACUGUCUCUUUUUCCUAGUCAAUGAAACUGAUCUGCCCGUGCAGAAGCGGGUAUACACACACAAGACGAGAAGACCCUAUGGAGCUUUAGACGCCAACCAGCUACGAAAAGCGACCACUGACCGGAUCCUCAAACAACGUAAUCAUGGCACAAACGUCUUCGGUUGGGGCGACCACGGGAGAUAACAAAGCUCCCGAGUGGAUAGGGGGAUACCCUAAAACCCAGAGCCACAGCUCUAAGUCACAAAAUAUUUGACCAAUAAUGAUCCGGCUUUAUGCCGACCAACGGACCAAGUUACCCUAGGGAUAACAGCGCAAUCCCCUCCCAGAGUCCAUAUCGACGAGGGGGUUUACGACCUCGAUGUUGGAUCAGGACAUCCUAAUGGUGCAGCCGCUAUUAAGGGUUCGUUUGUUCAACGAUUAA